ensembl:snoRNA
GUCCUGUGGUUACCAGGUGCUGUUGUUCAGGUACAGCACUCCAGUGGAUUCGAGGGGCCAGAGCAAUCUGGUUCAUACAGGGGUCUUCCCUUCCUCAGCUGGUACAUAG